rnacentral:rRNA from 1 species
GGGUUGUGAGGUUAAGCGACUAAGCGUACACGGUGGAUGCCCUGGCAGUCAGAGGCGAUGAAGGACGUGCUAAUCUGCGAAAAGCGUCGGUAAGGUGAUAUGAACCGUUACAGCCGGCGAUGUCCGAAUGGGGAAACCCAGUGCAAUUCGUUGCACUAUCGUUAACUGAAUACAUAGGUUAACGAGGCGAACCGGGGGAACUGAAACAUCUAAGUACCCCGAGGAAAAGAAAUCAACCGAGAUUCCCCCAGUAGCGGCGAGCGAACGGGGAGCAGCCCAGAGUCUGAAUCAGCUUGUGUGUUAGUGGAACGGUCUGGAAAGUCCGACGGUACAGGGUGAUAGUCCCGUACACCAAAAUGCACAGGCUGUGAACUCGAAGAGUAGGGCGGGACACGUGGUAUCCUGUCUGAAUAUGGGGGGACCAUCCUCCAAGGCUAAAUACUCCUGACUGACCGAUAGUGAACCAGUACCGUGAGGGAAAGGCGAAAAGAACCCCGGCGAGGGGAGUGAAAAAGAACCUGAAACCGUGUACGUACAAGCAGUGGGAGCACCUUCGGGUGUGACUGCGUACCUUUUGUAUAAUGGGUCAGCGACUUAUAUUCUGUAGCAAGGUUAACCGUAUAGGGGAGCCGCAGGGAAACCGAGUCUUAACUGGGCGUUAAGUUGCAGGGUAUAGACCCGAAACCCGGUGAUCUAGCCAUGGGCAGGUUGAAGGUUGGGUAACACUAACUGGAGGACCGAACCGACUAAUGUUGAAAAAUUAGCGGAUGACUUGUGGCUGGGGGUGAAAGGCCAAUCAAACCGGGAGAUAGCUGGUUCUCCCCGAAAGCUAUUUAGGUAGCGCCUCGUGAACUCAUCUUCGGGGGUAGAGCACUGUUUCGGCUAGGGGGUCAUCCCGACUUACCAACCCGAUGCAAACUACGAAUACCGAAGAAUGUUAUCACGGGAGACACACGGCGGGUGCUAACGUCCGUCGUGAAGAGGGAAACAACCCAGACCGCCAGCUAAGGUCCCAAAGUCAUGGUUAAGUGGGAAACGAUGUGGGAAGGCACAGACAGCCAGGAUGUUGGCUUAGAAGCAGCCAUCAUUUAAAGAAAGCGUAAUAGCUCACUGGUCGAGUCGGCCUGCGCGGAAGAUGUAACGGGGCUAAACCAUGCACCGAAGCUGCGGCAGCGACACUAUGUGUUGUUGGGUAGGGGAGCGUUCUGUAAGCCUGCGAAGGUGUGCUGUGAGGCAUGCUGGAGGUAUCAGAAGUGCGAAUGCUGACAUAAGUAACGAUAAAGCGGGUGAAAAGCCCGCUCGCCGGAAGACCAAGGGUUCCUGUCCAACGUUAAUCGGGGCAGGGUGAGUCGACCCCUAAGGCGAGGCCGAAAGGCGUAGUCGAUGGGAAACAGGUUAAUAUUCCUGUACUUGGUGUUACUGCGAAGGGGGGACGGAGAAGGCUAUGUUAGCCGGGCGACGGUUGUCCCGGUUUAAGCAUGUAGGCUGAUUGUCCAGGCAAAUCCGGAUAAUCAAGGCUGAGGUGUGAUGACGAGGCACUACGGUGCUGAAGUAACAAAUGCCCUGCUUCCAGGAAAAGCCUCUAAGCAUCAGGUAACAUUAAAUCGUACCCCAAACCGACACAGGUGGUCAGGUAGAGAAUACCAAGGCGCUUGAGAGAACUCGGGUGAAGGAACUAGGCAAAAUGGUGCCGUAACUUCGGGAGAAGGCACGCUGGUGUGUAGGUGAAGUCCCUGCGGAUGGAGCUGAGACCAGUCGAAGAUACCAGCUGGCUGCAACUGUUUAUUAAAAACACAGCACUGUGCAAACACGAAAGUGGACGUAUACGGUGUGACGCCUGCCCGGUGCCGGAAGGUUAAUUGAUGGGGUUAUCCGUAAGGAGAAGCUCUUGAUCGAAGCCCCGGUAAACGGCGGCCGUAACUAUAACGGUCCUAAGGUAGCGAAAUUCCUUGUCGGGUAAGUUCCGACCUGCACGAAUGGCGUAAUGAUGGCCAGGCUGUCUCCACCCGAGACUCAGUGAAAUUGAACUCGCUGUGAAGAUGCAGUGUACCCGCGGCAAGACGGAAAGACCCCGUGAACCUUUACUAUAGCUUGACACUGAACAUUGAGCCUUGAUGUGUAGGAUAGGUGGGAGGCUUUGAAGCGUGGACGCCAGUCUGCGUGGAGCCAACCUUGAAAUACCACCCUUUAAUGUUUGAUGUUCUAACGUUGGCCCCUGACCGGGGUUGCGGACAGUGUCUGGUGGGUAGUUUGACUGGGGCGGUCUCCUCCCAAAGCGUAACGGAGGAGCACGAAGGUUAGCUAAUCCUGGUCGGACAUCAGGAGGUUAGUGCAAUGGCAUAAGCUAGCUUGACUGCGAGCGUGACGGCGCGAGCAGGUGCGAAAGCAGGUCAUAGUGAUCCGGUGGUUCUGAAUGGAAGGGCCAUCGCUCAACGGAUAAAAGGUACUCCGGGGAUAACAGGCUGAUACCGCCCAAGAGUUCAUAUCGACGGCGGUGUUUGGCACCUCGAUGUCGGCUCAUCACAUCCUGGGGCUGAAGUAGGUCCCAAGGGUAUGGCUGUUCGCCAUUUAAAGUGGUACGCGAGCUGGGUUUAGAACGUCGUGAGACAGUUCGGUCCCUAUCUGCCGUGGGCGCUGGAGAAUUGAGGGGGGCUGCUCCUAGUACGAGAGGACCGGAGUGGACGCAUCACUGGUGUUCGGGUUGUCAUGCCAAUGGCACUGCCCGGUAGCUAAAUGCGGAAGAGAUAAGUGCUGAAAGCAUCUAAGCACGAAACUUGCCCCGAGAUGAGUUCUCCCUGAGACU